GGCAGGGAGACUCAUAUAUAAACAAGGGCAAGAAGGAAGUGGGCGCCUUCUCUCUUCCUCCAGAGUCACCAUGUGAUCCCUCAAUGAGGACACCAAUGGAAGGCAUCAUAAAUAAGAAAACAAAACCAGUCUGCCCUGGGAUUUGGAAAUAGGAUCCGAUUCUCUUGGAGCCUCCCGCUCACUGCUGGGAGCCGUGUGGGCAUGAGGGACAGACAGAGAUGCUGUAAAGAGGACCCCCUGCCUCCUGUCUGCAGACCAUAAUCCCUUCCUGAAGAGGAGGAUGCCUGUAUGUCUACUGGUGUGGCCCCAAAGGACACCUCUUGGCAAUGGAUGUGUUAUUGCAUUGAUAACAGACAACGGGUGAUGUUCCAGGAAAUUCUCUUCGAACAAAAGAAUUGGGGCUGCAGACACCUGACGCAUGAGUGUCUGGGAAGGUAUCCAGUUUCCUCAUAUCACCCCACCCAGGUCAGGCUCUCUCGUGUGACAUAGUCAGGGUAGAAAUAGAGAACUUGAUUGUUGCACAUUGAUGUCAAAGACCAACCGGGCUGGAGCUGCACCGAUUGUUAGAGUCACAGGGCUGAGAGCUUCUGUGCUUUCUGACCUGAAACCACUGCAAACAAAGGAGGAGAAGAUACAAACACAGGGCUGUCAGCAGUGUAAGUUGUUAGAGUCAGGGGCUCCUUGUAUUCUGUGUGCCAUCGACUGCUUUCUCCAAGAUUGAAAAGACACUUACCGUCCUAACACAGAGCUGGGGCGGUUCUGACAAUUCACAUGAGUCUGACAUGCAUAUUGCUUGAGCUAUAUAAAGAAGAAAAAUUUAAAAGUGGCUAUCUUUUGUCUUCAUCUCAAAGAAGGCUCAGGAACUGACAUCCAGGUGGUUAAAAGCAUUACCACACUUCUAAAUGACAUGAUAUAAAGUGUGUGUUUGAGAUUGCAAGAGAAUCCAUUUUCUCCCAUGGGCAUUAACAAAAAUAUUUCAAUCUAGGUGGAAGGGAACAUGGUCCAUCAGAAUUUCUUUUCUUUCUUUUUUUUUUUAAAAAAAACUUGUCUAAUAUAAAAUGCUAACUGCUAAGGCAGGUGUGGUGGUGCCCACCUUUAAUCCCAGAACUUGGGAGGCCAAGUCAGGCAGAUCUCUACAUAAUUCCAGGACAGCCAGGACUACAUAAUGAGACCCCAUCUAAAAAAAAACCCAAAGCAAAGCAAAAACAAAAAUCCAACAACAGCAAUAAGCUAUCUGCUGCUCUGCCUUGUGGUGUUGACAGCAAGCACAGCACAUGUACCCCACUUCUGGUCAUUUUUCCCUCUUUGAGACAGGGUUUUGCUGUGUAGCCUAGGCUAGCCUUGAAUGCAGGCAGCUCCUGCCUCCCAAGUGCCAGGAUUAUAGAAGUCUGCCAUCAAACCCAGAAAUCUGAUCAUGUUUAAAGCCAGGUAUAGGAACAAGACAACAUACCCUUUCAGACUUACAAAAGAGGAUGUUUGGGUGCCAAGUGUCCUCUGAUUCUGGUCGAUCUUGACUUGUUUGUGCUUUAGCUCCUUCUGCUCUUACCUCUCUGAAUUUCUCCAUCUCUCUGAUUAUCUUUGGUUCCAAUUACUCCCUGACACUCACAUCCCUGCCCUCCCUCUAAGGCAGUGGUUCUCAACCUUCCUAGCCCUGCAGCUCUUUUGUACAAUUCCUCAUGCUGUGGUGACUCCCUAUCAUAAAAUUAUUUUCCUUGCUACGUCAUAACUAUAUGUUAUGAAUCGUAGUGCAAAUAUCUGUGUUUUCUGAUAGUCUUAGGUAACCCCUGUGAAAGGGUCACUUGCUCUCUUUUGCUAUUUCCCGUGAUCCUACUGAUGUUCAAGCAGAGAUCAACCCUGACCUUUGUCCCCCUCAAGUAAGGAGCAAACACCAGUGCCAGAUUACAAUGGCACUGGAAAGAUUGGGGACAUGGUCUCUUCUCUGGCAUAUGCAGCUUUUUCCACAGCCUCUCAACCAUCACUCACUGCCUUUCCCAAAGUACUUCCAAGGGCAGGAAACUCCCAACUUCUCAGGACUGUCCUUUCUGUUUUUGUUUUCAUUUUUUCUGACAACUUUAUCAGAAAGCACAAGUUGUCAACAAGCCCAAGAGCCCUGCAGUCUUCUGUUUCCUUCAGAGUGCUGAUGUAUGGCAUAAACUCCAAGGCAGCUGUCACCACGCCCUCUCCCUGUCACUUGCCCAGAGCAGAGCCUCAGCCCUCAACAGAAAUUAAUCUCUUCCACUUUUCACCACCAUAGUUCCUUGUGCUUUUCCAGCCUCUGGUCAUUCAUGCUCAACAGAUAAGUGAUAGCCAUAGCCAUGACUGGAACAUGGGCAGCUUUCCAGGGUGGCCAGAUAUAGCCCAUUAUCACCACAGCUACAGUGCAUGGGCUCAUUGAGAAGUUACUGGACACUUUAUCAAUGAGGAAGGCAGGCCUAGGGACACUGGCGCUGGGCUUCGUGCGAAGGAAUGGAGGUGAAGAUGACGUCUCCUGAGAUAGCAGCAACUGCUUAUCUGACACGUUUGUCAGGUGUCAAUGCAUGUCAUCCGAGAUGGAGACGAACUAUAAAUGCAUAGCCUGAAAGAUAGUAAAUGAUUUAUAAGUGAGGAAGAGACCCAUGAGAGAUUCAGACUGGACAAAGGUCAUGUAGGGAGGCCAUGGCAGAGGUCAUGUAGGGAUAUGAUGGAGGAGGUCAUGUGGAGAGACCAUGGUGAAAGCUCUGAUUUCCAUAAAGCAAGAGAAAGUCCCCAUGCCCUUUGCAAACUGCACUGGACUUCAUGAGGAAAGAAAGGGUAUUUGGAAUUUGUCCUGUUUGAUAAAACCUAGCAUCACAGUUCAAAACCUCAGAGACUGUGCAACUUCCUCUUAAGUUGUCUCAAAUGUGUGGGCUACAGUGGCCCUUGGGACAGGUUUAACCAGACAGAUCUAUGAUUCCCAAUGGCAAAAGGUUCAGGUGUGGGAGUGGUCAGCCAACAAGAAGCACCUAAACUUUCUACACCAGACAGAAUGCCCUCCCCAUGAGGGGAAUGAGUGUGUCAGAUGUGAGAAUGACCAGGACUGAAUAUUGGAUCCCCCACCCCUCAAUAUUCAGAGAUCAGGGCAGUGAGGAGACUCAAAUGGAGAGGACAGGCAUGCUCAGUGAGGGCCAGCAAUCCCAGGAGAUUCAUCUUUGGAAGGGCAGACAGUGCUUCAGAAAGGAAGGAGCUCAGGGCUGACAGAUCAAGAAACAGCUGGAGUCCUGGGGGACAGAUCUAUCUCCCAGCUUAGCCUUCACAAGGCCCUAGUUGAAUCUAUAGUGCAGUUUCACUUGAAAAGGUGGUGGCUCACGCCUUUAAUCCCAGCACUUGGGAGGCAGAGGCAGAGGCAAAGGCAGGCAGAUCUCCGUAAGUUCAAGACUAGCCUGGUCUACAAGAGCUAGUUAUAGGACAGCCUCCAAAGCCACAGAAAAACCCUGCCUAGAACCACCACCACCACCCCCAUAAAAGGAAGGAAAAUGAAAGAAGGAGACAACACAGAAUGAUACUGGCAC
rnacentral:lncRNA from 1 species